rnacentral:rRNA from 1 species
ACUGGGACUGAGACACGGCCCAGACUCCUACGGGAGGCAGCAGUGGGGAAUUUUGGACAAUGGGGGCAACCCUGAUCCAGCCAUGCCGCGUGUCUGAAGAAGGCCUUCGGGUUGUAAAGGACUUUUGUCAGGGAGGAAAUCCCUAAGGUUAAUACCCUUGGGGGAUGACAGUACCUGAAGAAUAAGCACCGGCUAACUACGUGCCAGCAGCCGCGGUAAUACGUAGGGUGCAAGCGUUAAUCGGAAUUACUGGGCGUAAAGCGUGCGCAGGCGGUUUGAAAAGUCAGCUGUGAAA